CUGCACUUCAAAGGGAUUCUUUAUGUGAGAAGAGCUUUGGGACAUAUCUGAGCGAAUGUGAUAAAACUAUAUAAAUGCUCCAAGAAGAGAUCGGGAUUUGAACUCUGGUCCCUGCCUUCUGGGAUGACGCCUGAUGGAAUCAUGAUUGGUGCUCGCUGAAAGAGGUGGCACAGUUCCUUCACUCUCAGCAUAUUCUCCAUAAUUUGAUAACAGCUUCAACAAACAUUGCUGAGGCAGAUAAAAUGCUUGGAACAACGGUGUGACCAGGUAGAUCACCUUCCGGAGAGCAAUGCGAAUUGUACACCAGAAUAAUGGAACCUUUACAUCCCAUGAACAGUGACGCAUUGCAACUUCCAACCCAAUACUGAAAAAUGUCUUCAGCAGUUUGCUUACCUUG